ensembl:snoRNA
CCUGGUCCAUGAUGUUUCCUCAGUGUGGAGACUGUUGGAUGAGUCCUGCGGAUAUGGGGCUGAGGCCAGAC